GAGGAAUAUUGCACAAUGGAGGAAACUCUGAUGCAGCAACGCCGCGUGGAGGAUGACGCAUUUCGGUGUGUAAACUCCUUUUAUUAGGGAAGAAAAUGACGGUACCUAAUGAAUAAGCACCGGCUAACUCCGUGCCAGCAGCCGCGGUAAUACGGAGGGUGCAAGCGUUACUCGGAAUCACUGGGCGUAAAGGACGCGUAGGCGGGUUGGUAAGUCAGGUGUGAAAUCCUACAGCUUAACUGUAGAACUGCAUUUGAAACUACCGACCUAGAGUGUGGGAGGGGGAGAUGGAAUUAGUGGUGUAGGGGUAAAAUCCGUAGAUAUCACUAGGAAUACCGAAAGCGAAGGCGAUCUCCUGGAACAUAACUGACGCUAAGGCGUGAAAGCGUGGGGAGCAAAC
rnacentral:rRNA from 1 species